CACAGAAAAAAGUUUGCAUUUAGCCACGCCCGACCUCUCAGAGAGCUUGCAUCUCACAAUGAAAAGCCCUGGACUCAGUUGCAAAAACCCAAACUUUCAGGCAGCGUGACCCCGCCCUGCCUCAAGGCUUGUAUUUUACAGGGUGAGAAAGUUGAAAUUGGGCGUUUCCCUGGCGAACAGCUGCCGGCGGCAGGAGGUGGGAGUCUCGUCGGGGCGGGGUCGAGGGGGGCAGCCAGCAAGCUGCGGGCUCCGGCGACUGCGGAAUUGCGCGCUCAGAGUCGCAGCUGCGUGCGGCAGCAGGAGGCGGGCGCGGAGGGGGUGGGCUGGGGAGCAGGGACCGGAGGCAGCGGAAGGAGGGUGGUUUGGGAUUCAAAGCACGUCCUGAGACCUCUAGACAAUCGCUCUCCUCCCCUCCCCCACAGCUCGCCUGGGGUUCCAGCGGGUAAAACCACUUCUCCGGGAGUCUCUGCCCCUCCGGUAAACCCGCGCGCACAGCCUCGGGGACACACCCGAGCCUUCUCCAGGCAGGCUUGCCUUGCCGAGUGAGGAGCAGGGAGGAAGCGGAGACCGAGGAGUGGCCGGGAUUCCAAAUGAGUUACAGCAAAAAUGAAAGAGAGGUUCCUCCCCCUUCCAAGUCGCCUCCGAGCCCACGCCCCACACCGCCGCACAAAGCAGCCGGGAAGGUGCUGGACCCUGCUGCCUGCCUGCCACGAGGUCCCCAACCUUGGUGCUACUGCUUGGGGGUGAGGGACACGCCUAAAAACUGCGGCACAGCGAGGGAGAGGCCACCCGAGACCCUGACGCCUACAGAGCGCGUGCGCAGACUCUGAGCACUGACACUUUAAAAUCCACAGUUUGUAGGUAGUGGAAGGAGAUUAUCUCUUUGUUACUUUUCGUGUGUACGUGUGUAUUGGGGGCGGGGUGCGGAAUCUGCUUGUGUUUAAGGGUGAGAGUUGAAAGCGUGCAUGAAAUGUUUACUACGGACCUGGAACCUGACCCCUGCAAUAUCAUGGGUGCAGGACCCUUCCCCUUGUCGACUCAGGACCGGUCGCCUGCAAGGUGACGUGACCCUUUUUCGUCCUCUGGCGAGAAGGGCCGAAUGACCCGGGUUCCCGUGGGGGAGCGGAGCCUGCAGCUGUUGAGUGAGACCCUCCCAGAACUAUCAGCAAGCUGUCACCGCCUUUCUUUCCCGCUGGGAGGUGGAAGGGGGGCUUUCAACUCAAUUCCAGUGCACAAAGAGAAACCGAGAGAACAAAAGCCCAGCCUCCCCCAGACACCCAUGGCGCCCAGACUGAACCUUCAGAAUUCCCCAGACGCGGCUUCCCUUCUUGGGGUUAGGAGGGGGUCGGGAGAGAGGCAGAGGAGCCGAAGGUCCGCCCACAUGCCGCACUUGCCGGGUUCCAAGGACCCAGGACCCCGAGUUUCUAAUCCAGCUCCUACAGAUGCAGAAACGUCGAGGGUGAACGACUCCCGUGGUCACACAGAAAGUUAAAAACAGGGCUCAGUCUGCAAUCCCGUCUUCCGGGCCCCCAGGCCUCGGGGAAGGGGGCCACGUUGGGGCCGCAAGAGCUGUGGUUGGUGUCAGCACCCGGACCUGGAGGGCGGCUGCGAUGGGACCGAGGCGUGCGGGAAGGAACCCAGCGAGGGUGGCACCCGCGCCCAGUGUAGACGCUCACUGAGCGGUUAGCGCCUGGCUACCAGGGCCGAGGGGUAACCCUGGCGCGCGGGGCUCCAGGGGAUCGGCUCCAUGCCGGGAAAUUUGAGCCGGCCUCCAACCUCCCUCACCUAACGGUUUAUUUUCUCAGCUUCGGUUUCAGAGCCAGAUUUCCGCGGAGUGUCGGGUGAAAGCGUGAGCUCAAGAUUAUGUGGAUAAAAGGACCCUUUCCUCUCGGGUUUACUUCGGGGGGAAAAGGCUUGGGAUAGAGUGAGGCUGGAGCUCGAAGCCCUUCCUUUCACACAUUUGCGGGUACUGUCGCCCACCCCCAGCCGCUGCGAAGCUGGCAUUCUUGUUCUCGGUUUUACAUCUCCCCCUGCCUCCCCCCCACACCCCGCCCUUUUUGGAUUCAUGCUGCUGCACAUUUUUAUUUUCACAAGAAGCUGAUUUUACGUUGGUGACAGCCAAAUCUUUCAGUUUAUCUGCUGAUCCUUAUCAUUCUUAUUCCGUAUAGUUCCUGAGGUGAGGCUGGUGAGGGAGAGAUUCGGCCGCAUUUGCGUCUUCCAGCAUUUCUUUUUGUGAAUUACACAGAAUUCCUUUCCAUCUAGGUCAUUGUAUAUCAGGCGUUAAAGGUGUCAGAACUGUGUAUUUCACCAUCACUUACAGGCUAAGUAGCUUUAAUGAUAUGCUAAUAUUUCUAAAUUUUCCCUUCACCAGAAGUUGUAGACAUAACUUGGUGUAAAAUAAAAUUCAACAUUUAUUUUAUGCAUAACUGAUUGUAUGGCUGAGGUAGGAUACCCCCUAAGCAAUUAAAAUUAUAUUUGCCCUCA